rnacentral:rRNA from 1 species
UACGGAGGGUGCAAGCGUUAUCCGGAUUCACUGGGUUUAAAGGGUGCGUAGGUGGGCAGGUAAGUCAGUGGUGAAAUCUCCGGGCUUAACCCGGAACUGCCGUUGAUACUAUUUGUCUUGAAUAUUGUGGAGGUAAGCGGAAUAUGUCAUGUAGCGGUGAAAUGCUUAGAUAUGACAUAGAACACCAAUUGCGAAGGCAGCUUACUACACAAUCAUUGACACUGAGGCACGAAAGCGUGGGGAUCAAACAGG